rnacentral:rRNA from 1 species
GUCUACGACCACACCACCCUGAACCUGCGGGAUCUCCUCUGAUCUUGAAAGCUAAGCAAGUUCGGGCCUGGUUAGUACUUGAAUGGGAGAAAACAUACGUUUCUAUCCU